UUGAAGGUGUUUUGUGUGACAUCUCUGCCUGCGGUCCUGGACUGCCUUGUCCAUGUUACCUGUCGCGGGACCACCAGAGGCUGAUUCUGGGGUGGGUUCUGGAGGCAGCCUAGCUGAGUCAUCUAGAACAGCUACCAGCGGAGGAAGAGAGAUUCAUUUGGAACCAUUUCUACAAUUUUGGUGGAAGAUGUGACUCAGGGCCACUUAUCCAAACACAGCAAGAUUGGAAUAUAUAAGGGGGAAGCCUCCUUUGAUGGAGCUUGGUGUUCAGAGAAGCCCUGUACAGCCACGAGAGAGGAAAAGACAGAAGCCGGUCCACACUGUGCCCUCACCCUCCUUCUGGGCCCCCCUUCACCUGUUAAAAUUGUGGGGAGGAUGUGUGCAGUGGGCUGCAUGAUGACCCUCAAAACCUGCAAAUAUGACCUUAUCUGGAAAUGGAGUCUUUGCAGAUGUAAUUAAGUUAAGGGUUUUGAGAUGAGAUGAUCAUCCUGCAUUAUCUGGGUAGGCUCUAAAUCAAUGACAAAUGUCCUGGUAAAGGACACACAGAGGAGAAGACAGGCGCAAGGAGGCAAUGGCAAUAUGAAGACAGAGCAGAGUGACACAAGCCAAGGAAUGCUGACAACACCAGAAGCUGGAAGAGCCGAGGCAGGAUUCUCCCCAGGGCCUCCAGAGGGAGCACGGCUCUGCUGGCGCUUGAUUUUAGACUCCUAGCCUCUAGAAUUGUGAGAGAAUAAAUUCCUGUUGUUUUAAGCUGCCAAGCUUGUGCAAUUUGUUAUGACAGCUGCAGGAAACUAGCAGAACAUAGGACUGGAGUCCUAAAGCCCAGUGCGUGGUCUGGGGAGGGAGCUGAGAAUGUCCCGGAGGGCCACGCACUCAUGCAAAUAUCAAAUAGCCUUUGCAGUUUUUUUGUGAGCCUAUGGCCCACAAUCCUACAGACUUCCAGUUUUAUGUAAGACCAAGCCCUACUCACCAGAUACUUUAUGUUAGCUCUUCCGUUGUUACCAACGUUGGGCAUAACGCAUUGUUUUAAAUUUGAAGAUCACAUACAAAACCUCAUAUUUGUCUUUGACAAAGCGAAUCAAUGGUCUCCAAGUCGGGGUGUUCAACACAAUCCACCGGGUUGGGGAAAAACAGUGGAACUUUGGGGCAAGAACAGUAAGGAAGCAAUUAUACUUUCCUAAUCUUUUAAGAUUGGCACUAGUAGCUUCCUUUGGUGGGUGUGUCAGAGGGCUCUAUGUUACCCGCAGCACAGGUGGGCCCUUGAGGGCUCCACAAUGUGGGGGCCAAUGGUGGUGACCUCGCGUAUGCAUGAAUCUCAGGGGAAUUUGAGGUAAUAUGGUCUACAUGUGCUGGGUAAGUGGACUUGUAAAGCACACAAUCUAGUUUUAGCUCAACUAAUCCCCACAAAAUGAAAAAAUAGUUUGAAUAGAUUGCUGUAGAGAGACUGAGGAUUAAAGACAAUGCUAAUAGUACAAGUCUGGGUAAAAACCAAGAAAUUAGCAGAAGUGCUGUAGCUGGUGUGAGCUCUGCGUUAGCACAUCGUGAGGGAAAAGUGAGAUGGGACAAGAAGUCCGUCCCCUUGCCCCCAAAAGUAAAAUUAUCAAGAAGCUUCCUUGAAAGAUGGAUUUACAUUCACUGUCAUUAAUGAUGAAACUCGCUAUCCCAUUGUGCCUUGGAAUAUUAGUUAUUAAUAGUAAAGAGUCAUCAAA
ensembl:lncRNA